UGAGCAACCUGCCCUUAGCUCUGGGAUAACCCCGGGAAACCGGGGCUAAUACCGGAUACGAGUCCGAGCGGCAUCACGCGGACUGGAAAGUUUUUCGGCUAAGGAUGCGCUCGCGGCCUAUCAGCUUGUUGGUGGGGUAAUGGCCUACCAAGGCGAGACGGGUAGCCGGCCUGAGAGGGCGACCGGCCACACUGGGACUGAGACACGGCCCAGACUCCUACGGGAGGCA
rnacentral:rRNA from 1 species